rnacentral:rRNA from 1 species
CCGGCACGGGUGAGUAACACGUAUCCAACCUGCCGUCUACUCUUGGACAGCCUUCUGAAAGGAAAGAUUAAUACAAGAUGGCAUCAUGAGUCCGCAUGUUCACAUGAUUAAAGGUAUUCCGGUAGACGAUGGGGAUGCGUUCCAUUAGGUAGUAGGCGGGGUAACGGCCCACCUAGUCUUCGAUGGAUAGGGGUUCUGAGAGGAAGGUCCCCCACAUUGGGACUGAGACACGGUCCAA